UAUAUUUUUCAACAUACCAUUCUAAGCGAUUCUUUACAAGAUGUUCUGAAAUUUUUAGUAACACUGACGAUAGAACUAUGGGACGAUAGGAGGAAGCAGAAGAGGGAGAUUUACCGGGUUUUAAAAUGGGAAUAACCUUCUGGGUUUUCCAUGAAUCUGGGAUAUUGCCUGUCAACAACAUACAAUUAACUAAAUCCAAAUAAUAACAUAAAACUUCGUCGGAAGCGUGUUUAAAAAAGGAAUAUGGAAUUCCGUCCAUGCCAGGAGCCGAAUCAUUUAAGUUUGAGACAACACCUUUUAGCUCUUGAAGUGAAAAGAGCGCAUUAAGGUCUUUAAGGUUAACUUCGCCUAAAGGUGAUGGACGGAGAAGUGACACAGAGGGAGGUGCUAAUCUCUUUAAAAAAUCAUUGGCUAGAGAGUCUGGCAUAGGGUGAAAAGGGGGCUUGUAUGCAGACCUAUACCUUCUAAUAUUGUUCCAAACUAUGGAAGCAUGUGUAUCUGGGCUAAUAGAUUCGCAAAACUUUUUCCAGCUUGCGGACUUCUUUUUCUUAAAUAAUUUUUUCGCGUCGUUAACAGAUUUACAAUAUAUAGUGUAGUUUUCAUAUGUAGAAUUAUUGUUAUAAUUUCUUUCAGCCUGUUUUCUUUUAUUUAUAGCGGCUGAACAGUCAAUGUCCCACCAAGGAGGUGAUGGGGAGAGAAAUGAGAAUGGGAAAGUGAUCACUACCGUGACUAUAUGAUAAAACUGACCAAUGUAAAAGAGAUGAUAGAUUUGAAGUACAAAUAGAUAAAUCGGGAGCACUAUAACCCUCAUUGGGUGCAGUAUGCCUCGUUGGAAACCCUGUAUUGAGAAUGCAUAACUUGUGGAAAUCUAAUAAAUCUAAUAUUUCGAAACCCCA